UACAGAGGUCUCAAGCGUUGUUCGGAUUCAUUGGGCGUAAAGGGUGUGUAGGUGGCGCGCUAAGUCGGGUGUGAAAUUUCGGAGCUUAACUCCGAAACUGCAUUCGAUACUGGCGUGCUUGAGGACUGGAGAGGAGACUGGAAUUCAUGGUGUAGUAGUGAAAUGCGUAGAGAUCAUGAGGAAGACCAGUGGCGAAGGCGGGUCUCUGGACAGUUCCUGACACUGAGACACGAAGGCCAGGGGAGCAAACGGG
rnacentral:rRNA from 1 species